AGAGUCAAAAAGACCGCGAAACCGUUGGGAGGGAAACGAAUGCGGCUGAAGUGGCCGCCCGUCAGGCUCAGGAGACGUCGUGCGGGUCCCGGCUCCUCGCGGUUGCUUCCGCGGCGGUGGCCCUGGGUGCCCGUCGAGCGGCUCUGCACUUCUGCGGGCGGCCUGCCAACGGCAGUUGCUCCCGGCCCAGGAGGUCGUGUGGGGUAGGUGGCUCCGCGUCCGCGUGGGGACCUUACAGCCCGGCGUCUCGGCGCUCCGGGAGGCGACUGAGGAGAGUUUCCUUGCGCGAGUCUUUCGCGCUGGCAGCGCAGGCUGCCCCCCCUCCGGGGGGGGCGGCUGGGCCGCCUCCGUCCGGCACCCGGCCGCGCGGGUCACUGCUUGCAGUGUCACGUCGACGGUGCGGGGGUCGGGCGGGUGGGCCGGUCGCACCUUGCGCUGCGGUCGUUGGCGUCCGAAUGGCCGCAUCCGA
rnacentral:rRNA from 1 species